AGAGGCCGCUGCUAUCCGGCUGGGACUAAGCCAUGCUAGUCAAGGGGCUUGUACCCUUCGGGGUGCAAGCACCGGCGGACGGCUCAGUAACACGUGGACAACCUGCCCUCGGGAGGGGGAUAACCCUGGGAAACUGGGGCUAAUCCCCCAUAGGAGAUGGGUACUGGAAUGUCCCAUCUCCGAAAGCGCUUAGCGCCCGAGGAUGGGUCUGCGGCGGAUUAGGUAGUUGGCGGGGUAACGGCCCGCCAAGCCGAAGACCCGUACGGGCUGUGGGAGCAGGAGCCCGGAGAUGGACCCUGAGACAAGGGUCCAGGCCCUACGGGGCGCAGCAGGCGCGAAACCUCCGCAAUGCGGGAAACCGCGACGGGGUUAGCCGGAGUGUCCGUGCAUCGCACGGACUGUCGGGGAGCCUAAACAGCUCCCCAUAGCAAGGGCCGGGCAAGGCCGGUGGCAGCCGCCGCGGUAAUACCGGCGGCCCGAGUGGCGGCCACUCUUAUUGGGCCUAAAGCGUCCGUAGCCGGUCUGGUAAGUCCCCCGGGAAAUCUGGCGGCUUAACCGUCAGACUGCCGGGGGAUACUGCCAGACUAGGGACCGGGAGAGGCCGAGGGUAUUCCCGGGGUAGGGGUGAAAUCCUGUAAUCCCGGGAGGACCACCUGUGGCGAAGGCGCUCGGCUGGAACGGGUCCGACGGUGAGGGACGAAGGCCUGGGGAGCGAACCGGAUUAGAUACCCGGGUAGUCCAGGCUGUAAACGAUGCGGACUANGUGUCACCGGANCUACGAGCUCCGGUGGUGCCGGAGGGAANCCGUUAANUCCGCCGCCAGGGAAGUACGGCCGCAAGGCUGAANCUUAA
rnacentral:rRNA from 1 species